rnacentral:rRNA from 1 species
GAUGAACGCUGGCGGCGUGCUUAACACAUGCAAGUCGAACGGAAAGGCCGAAGCUUGCUUCGGUACUCGAGUGGCGAACGGGUGAGUAACACGUGGGUGAUCUGCCCUGUACUUCGGGAUAAGCUUGGGAAACUGGGUCUAAUACCGGAUAUGACGAUCUCUUGGAUGGGGUUGUGGAAAGCUUUUGCGGUAUGGGAUGAGCUCGCGGCCUAUCAGCUUGUUGGUGGGGUAAUGGCCUACCAAGGCGUCGACGGGUAGCCGGCCUGAGAGGGUGUACGGCCCAUAUGGGACCGGAGCGCGGGCCCAGCCUCCGAGGGGGGGCAGUAGGGGGGAUUAUUGCCCAGUGGGGCCACGCUUAAUGCAGCGAGCCCGGGGGGGGGAUGCCGGCUUUGGGUUUGUAACCUCUUUCCGAAAUGGACAAAGCCUUUUGGUGCCGUUAGGUAGAGAAAAAGCCCCGGCUAACUACGUC